AUGUGAUAGCCAUAUGUAAUUUUAAUAUGGAAUUUGUCUAUGUUUGGGCCGGUUGGGAGGGACAAGCUCAUAAUACAUGCAUCUUCUAUGAAGCCAUUGGAAGACCUUAUGCACAUUUUCCCCAUCCUCCUCCAGGUAAAUAUUACUUGGUAAAUGCUGGAUAUCCAAAUCACAUGGGUUAUUUGGGGCCAUAUAAAGAAGUUAGAUAUAAUUUACCAGAAUUUCAAGAAGGUUCUUUGCCUACGGGUUAUCGAGAAGUAUUCAAUCGUGCCCA